rnacentral:rRNA from 1 species
CCUACGGGGGGCAGCAGUGGGGGAUAUUGCACAAUGGGGGAAACCCUGAUGCAGCAACGCCGCGUGAAGGAAGAAGGUCUUCGGAUUGUAAACUUUUGUCUUGUGGGAAGAUAAUGACGGUACCACAGGAGGAAGCUCCGGCUAACUACGUGCCAGCAGCCGCGGUAAUACGUAGGGAGCGAGCGUUGUCCGGAUUUACUGGGUGUAAAGGGUGCGUAGGCGGCUAGACAAGUCAGGUGUGAAAUACCGCAGCUCAACUGCGGGGCUGCACUUGACACUGUCGAGCUUGCGUGAUGGAGAGGUAA